AAUUAAACGUUAGGAUAACAUUGGGAUUUUUUGCAGGAAUCGCCGGAGGGAGAAGCUAUGGUGACGAUUCUAUCAACUCCUCCUCUCUCUCCAAGACUUACAUUUCUCUGUGAAACAAAACUGUCAUUAUCUCGGAGCAGCAAACGCUCGGUAUGUUGUUCAUUGAGUGAAGAACCAAAAGACCAAAGCUUGAGUCGGAGAAGUCUAGUUUAUGUUUUGGUUGCUUCGCCGUGUUUGUUGUUUCCGGCGUUAUCUUCAUCUGCGAAGACUAAAUCAAAGAGCCCUUAUGAUGAGAGACGGUUACUAGAACAGAACAAGAGGAUACAGAGAGAGAACAAUGCUCCUGACGAAUUUCCUAACUUUGUUAGAGAAGGUUUUGAGGUUAAGGUAGUAGCUUCAGAGAAUUACAUCAAGGCUGAUUCUGGCCUCAUAUAUCGAGAUUUCGAUGUUGGUCAAGGUGAUUCCCCAAAAGAUGGUCAGCAGGUGACUUUUCACUACAUUGGCUACAAUGAGUCUGGAAGGCGAAUAGAUAGCACUUACAUACAAGGCUCUCCUGCUAGAAUUCGCAUGGGGACCAAUGCACUUGUUCCAGGAAACAGAUUGAGGAUUUUUAAUACUAUAUGGAUAAUGAUGAUGCAGGAUUUGAAAUGGGAAUUCGUGACAUGAAGCCCGGUGGGCGAAGAAGGAUUAUUAUCCCUCCAGAAUUGGGACCUCCGGUGGGACCUUCGACCUUCUUCAGCUCCAAGCAAUUUGAAGUUUUCGACGUGGAGUUGCUCAGUAUCCAGAAUUGUGAGAGGAGGACAAUAAUAGGUUUCUACUCAGACGUCACAUGCAGUUAACUUCUAAAUGUUGGUCACCACUAAGCUUCAAUGAAUCUGCAUUCACCAUUACUCGAAACUCUAUAUCUUCACGGCAGAUGAAAACUGCAAAGAAACAAAAAGAAGAAAUCUUCUUUGCUUAGGCAUUUAUCUUAUGGGUUUCAUGUAGAGGUGCACAAUUACAUAGACAGAGAUAAAGAUCGUGUAAAGUCUCGACCUUUUUCAUAAUCGUAGUUUACUUUUGUUGCUUGGUU